GAACUCAUGUGAAUGAAGAUUUCUUUCCCUGCCAGUGACCAUUAAAGAAAGGAAUACGUAGAGUCAGGAAUUGGUAAUCUAUCUGUAUUUGUGUAGUUCUUUUCCCUGCAUAUGACCUUGAUGUUUUCAGUUUGUAAAAUGAUGAUAUUGUACUGUUUUGUUACUGACAUCAUUUUACCUUUAUAAUGUUUAUUACUUGUCAGUUAAUCUGAUAAAUCCAUUUCCAGCAUUAUCUUUGAAAAAGGUAAAUCAGAGAGGGAGAAGAGAACCAUAAAAGGGAAGAGGUUCAUCUGAUAUUUUGGGUUAAGUGGUGACACGCCUGCAGUCUGCAGAAAUAACGAUGUCUGGUUAAUUGAUGAUCCAGUUGUCUCUUCAGGCUCUUGGAGAAUCAGUUCUGCCAGGUGCAGUUUAUAAUCGCACAUGAAGGUUACUAUACCUUGACAGCAUGGAAUCAUCAAUCAGGAAGCACCCUGUUUUCAACAUCGAGGAGGAUGAACAUUCUACGAAAUCAAAAGGACCCCUUAAGUUCUACAACUCGGAGAUCCACACGGCAUCAUUCUGUUUGCCCUCUUUUGCAAAGAUGGUAAUUGAGUCAACCCAAACUAGACGUGAUGAUACUUCACCAAGUCCAGUCGAUUGGGUUAAGUACCUUAGGCGCAACACAAAAUUAGUCCUUUUGCUUACAAAAUUAUGAAUAGGACAUUGUGGUACCUAGCAAUGCUCAUAAUUUUCUUCAGCAUAAAGAAAUGAAUAAACCUUCUUUUGCUACUGGUUUACUAUAAUGUUCCUAAGAACUCACCAAUAUUACACAAAGUCUGAAUUAUAUAAGCAUACCACUGUUACCAAAAAACUACAAUCAGAACCCAUAAGUACAUAUGACACUAUCUGUGGACCUAGCUGGCAGCUGCAAAUUUCAGAUACUUCAGAACAAAAACAACCCAGCAUUUAAGUCCAUACUUGUAUUAUUACAUUUUUUAUAAGCAAAAGGAAAAUAGAAAGGGGAAGUCAUGAACCAAAAAAUUACAACGGCCAGUCCAUUGUAGUGGUUCAAAUGAUGUUUUUCAUGGCCCAUGGAAAAUCAGUCAUACCUGUGUUAUUUCCUAAUAAUGUUACAUGAUUUAUCAUCCCAACAUCCAGUGAAUAAAGCAAUAUCAUCAUUAUAAUUUUGGCAAUGAAUAAGCACAUGAGAUGAGAUGCAACGGUUAUCAGAGUUGUCAGUCUAUACGAUUCUGUCUGUUGUAUGUGCCGGCUGCCAGGUGCAGCUAUGAAAACAUUUUGCAAUAGCUGUUUUCGGCAGUGCUCUGAUCAGGUUGAGUUUUGGACAUCAUUUAUUAUGUUCCUGCAUCCAUACCUGAUACUCCCUACGUUCAGCAUAAAGGGCUCUGUCUUAACAUGUUGAAUUUUUUGAAUGCUAAUCUGACAUAGUUUGUUUAUGAGGUAAUUAAGAUGAGAUUUCUUAGGAUCCACAUCCUUGUAUACUGUUUACCACCUAAUUUAAUUUGUAGUAUAAUAUUAAAAUUAAGUGCAGGUCCUCCAUAUAGUUUCUGGUUCUCAAGUAUGUUAUUCACGCCCAUUAGUGCAAAAAUAAAGUGAAAUCUGGUGAGUGCUUGUUUUCCAUUUGGUUCUUCACCAGCACCAUCACUAAUCUGUAGUUCAGAAAUUGUACUCGGAUAUAGUGUUUCAUAAUAAUAUUUCAUGUUAUUGCAUAAGUAAAUAGUGGUAUAUUAUUUGGCUGGUCUGCUAUUUGGGAAAACAAAAGAAAAUGAUACUAUACAGGGAUAAUAUGAAAUUUAUUUUUAAUCUUAUACUCCUACGUGGUUGGUGCAAGGUGAUUCUUCCCUGCGACGGCAACGCCACCAGCGAACUGGGAGGUGUUGCGGCUCCUCUGCAACUGCACGUACCUUGUUCCGAUCUGUAGGUUUCUGUACAAAAAUGCACUCCAAAAGUGUUUUUGGAUCAACAAAUGUUUUUAUAAUUCACGGCGGGAGGAUAAAC